rnacentral:rRNA from 1 species
UUGGGAAUAUUGCACAAUGGGCGCAAGCCUGAUGCAGCCAUGCCGCGUGUAUGAAGAAGGCCUUCGGGUUGUAAAGUACUUUCAGUCGGGAGGAAGGUGGUAAGGUUAAUAACCUUAUCAAUUGACGUUACCGACAGAAGAAGCACCGGCUAACUCCGUGCCAGCAGCCGCGGUAAGACGGAGGGUGCAAGCGUUAAUCGGAAUUACUGGGCGUAAAGCGCACGCAGGCGGUUGAUUGAGUCAGAUGUGAAAUCCCCGGGCUUAACCCGGGAAUUGCAUCUGAUACUGGUCAGCUAGAGUCUUGUAGAGGGGGGUAGAAUUCCAUGUGUAGCGGUGAAAUGCGUAGAGAUGUGGAGGAAUACCGGUGGCGAAGGCGGCCCCCUGGACAAAGACUGACGCUCAGGUGCGAAAGCGUGGGGAGCAAACAGG